GAGGCGAUGAAGGACGUGAUAAGCUGCGAUAAGCUACGAGGAGGUGCACAUAACCUUUGAUUCGUAGAUUUCCGAAUGGGGCAACCCGGCUGGUUGAAGACCAGUCACCUUUUAAAGGAGCGAACCCGGAGAACUGAAACAUCUAAGUACCCGGAGGAAAAGAAAUCAACCGAGAUUCCCUGAGUAGCGGCGAGCGAAAGGGGACUAGCCCUUAAGCAACUUGUGUUUUAAGAGAACAGUCUGGGAAGGCUGGCCAUAGUGGGUGAUAGCCCCG
rnacentral:rRNA from 1 species